rnacentral:misc_RNA from 1 species
GCAAACUUGGUCAUUUAGAGGAAGUAAAAGUCGUAACAAGGUUUCCGUAGGUGAACCUGCGGAAGGAUCAUUAUCGAGUCUUUGAAAGAAGUUGUAGCUGGCCUUAUGGGGCAUGUGCACGCUUCGCUCAAAUCCAACUCAUUUUUAACACCUGUGCACAUAUUGUAGGAUGGUUGAUACAAGGGAAGAACUCAGGUUCUUCUCGAGUUGUUGACGCCUUCCUAUGUUUCAUUUACACACUCAUUGUCGUAUCACGAAUGUUCUUUGCGCUUAAAUAACGCAUCAUAUAUAACUUUUAGCAACGGAUCUCUUGGCUCUCGCAUCGAUGAAGAACGCAGC